UGCAGUCGAACGAUGAUGAGUAGCUUGCUACUCUGAUUAGUGGCGCACGGGUGAGUAAUAUAUAGAUAACGUACCUCUUAGACUGGGAUAGCCAUUGGAAACGAUGAUUAAUACUAGAUACUCCUUCUAGCUCUAAUGCUAGUCGGGAAAGUUUUUUCGCUAAGAGAUCGGUCUAUAUCCUAUCAGUUAGUUGGUGAGGUAAUGGCUCACCAAGGCAAUGACAGGUAGCGGGUUUGAGAGGAUGAUCCGCCACACUGGUACUGAGACACGGACCAGACUCCUACGGGAGGCAGCAGUGAGGAAUAUUGCACAAUGGGGGAAACCCUGAUGCAGCAACGCCGCGUGGAGGAUGACGCAUUUCGGUGUGUAAACUCCUUUUAUAUGUCAAGAAAACGACGGUAGCAUAUGAAUAAGCACCGGCUAACUCCGUGCCAGCAGCCGCGGUAAUACGGAGGGUGCAAGCGUUAUUCGGAAUCACUGGGCGUAAAGGACGCGUAGGCGGGUUUGUAAGUCAGGUGUGAAAUCCUACAGCUUAACUGUAGAACUGCACUUGAAACUACUGACCUAGAGUAUGGGAGGGGGAGAUGGAAUU
rnacentral:rRNA from 1 species